GCUACCGCCGUGCGCUGGGCGGCGGUGAUCCGGGGUGUGGGAUCGUUUGCCGGAGUUAUUGGGUUUAAAGGGUCCGUAGGCGUACCGGUAAGUCAGUGGUGAAAGCCUACAGCUUAACUGUAGAACUGCCGUUGAUACUGUCGGUCUUGAGUGUGGUUGAGGUAGCUGGAAUGAGUAGUGUAGCGGUGAAAUGCAUAGAUAUUACUCAGAACACCAAUUGCGAAGGCAGGUUACCAAGUCACAACUGACGCUGAUGGACGAAAGCGUGGGGAGCGAACAGGAUUAGAUACCCCUGUAGUC
rnacentral:rRNA from 1 species